rnacentral:rRNA from 1 species
AGAGCGAACGCUGGCGGCAGGCUUAACACAUGCAAGUCGAGCGGGCGUAGCAAUACGUCAGCGGCAGACGGGUGAGUAACGCGUGGGAACGUACCUUUGGUUCGGAACGAACCCAGGGAAACUUGGGCUAAUACCGGAUAAGCCCUUACGGGGAAAGAUUUAUCGCCGAAAGAUCGGCCCGCGUCUGAUUAGCUAGUUGGUGAGGUAAUGGCUCACCAAGGCGACGAUCAGUAGCU